rnacentral:lncRNA from 1 species
CUCCAGCUGAAAGUUCAUUUUUUGCCCAUGACACCAAAUGUUAUUUGCUGCGGUGCACCCCAGCUGUGUAGGAUGUUUUGCUCCAAAGGGAGAAGUUCUCAGUGAGACACAUGGCACUGAACAAGAAGGAAAUCUUUGUUGCUGAAAAGGCUUUGGCACAUGGCACACAAUUUCUUUCCAAGGAUUUGGUACACUGUGUGGACUUUAUUCUUUGUGGGCUUUAUUGUUUGUGGCAAGAAGACAAUUUUUCAAGCCCUUGUUCCUUCACACCAAAGCCCUGAUUUCACAAAAGCUUCUGGACUCACUCAGGGCAAUAUGUUCUCAGUGACUGAAAAGCCAGCUCCUCACGAGCGGUAAGUAAUAUCAUCGCCAGACUUUUCACGUUCUCUGCAAUCAAUGAUGACUUUUCUGAAAACCAAUGACAGAGGGUGGUCCUGAAUAAAAAUUACAUAAUUUAGCCUUAGGAAACA